AAUUCGUGUUGAGGGCAGUGUCAAAUCAAAUCUUUAUACAUUUCUCAUGAUUCAUAGAGUGAUUCGAAAUCAUUUUGCUUGAAUUGACCAAUCUCACUUUUGAGUU